GAUGAACGCUAGCGGAAGGCAUAAUACAUGCAAGUCGAACGGAUGUAGCAAUACAUUAGUGGCGCACGGGUGCGUAACGCGUAUGCAACCUACCUUCAUCAGGGGGAUAACUACCCGAAAGGGUGGCUAACACCGCAUAAUACUAUUGAGUGGCAUCACUUGAUAUUUAAAUCUGAGGAGGAUGAAGAUGGGCAUGCGUCUGAUUAGCUAGUUGGUGUGGUAACGGCGCACCAAGGCGACGAUCAGUAGGGGAACUGAGAGGUUGGUCCCCCACACUGGCACUGAGAUACGGGCCAGACUCCUACGGGAGGCAGCAGUAGGGAAUAUUGGUCAAUGGUGGGAACACUGAACCAGCCAUUCCGCGUGCAGGAAGAAGGGUCUCUGACUUGUAAACUGCUUUAGCAAGGGAAGAAAAAGCUCAUGCGUGAGAAAUUGACAGUACCUUGAGAAUAAGCACCGGCUAACUACGUGCCAGCAGCCGCUGUAACAC
rnacentral:rRNA from 1 species